UUGAGUCUGUGGAGAGCAGACAGAUGAUUUCCAUAGAGAGGAGGCUUUGCAUGGUCAGCUGAUCCUCCAGUGAACUGAGAAGGUUUAUAGUCGUGUGAGUUCAACACUGCAGGACUCACAUGUGUCAGUCAACACAGCACAAAGCACAAGCAGCAUGACUCUCAUCAGCAUCUUCAUCUGGACGCUGGCCUGCUGCUGCUUCACAGGAUCCAGCAGUCAGACUGUGACUCAGCCUCCAGUGGUGAAAUCUACUCCAGGAUCCACUGUCACCCUGUCCUGUAAAACCGACAAAGCCGUUUACACAGAUGAUGAUGGAGAUGAGGCACUUUACUGGUAUCAGCAGAAAUCUGGAGAAAAUCCUAAGCUCUUAAUAAAAUGGGUGGAAACACUUGUGUCAGGAACACCAGCUCGGUUCAGUGGCAGUGGAAGCGGGACUGACUUCACUUUGACCAUCAGUGGAGUCCAGAUUGAAGAUGCAGCAGUUUAUUACUGUCAGAGUUACCAUGAUAGCUUUGUGUUCACACAGUGA